CGCUGAGUUCUCCAGUGCCGCCGCGACUCAGAGGUUUCCCUAAAAAUUGGCGAGGACAACGCCAUUCGUGCCCCCCUCUUUUAAAACUGAAUCUGCGGCCCCGGGUUCGCCGCUGCUCUUGAAUCCAGCGAGGUCGAGGCGACCGUAGGCGCCGCUUCUGAAAUCCCGGGUCACCGCCCUGGUUCGACGCCGUUGCGUCUGUAAAUCCGGCGAUUUACAAUCGCCGUCCAUCUUCCCGAUUCAAAGCAGGGUAGUCGGCCACUCCUUUUCCGAUGAGUCAGACGUCGUCGGCCACCGGUCUCAUCUGCCGUUGUUGCUGUUAUACACUGAAACAGAGGAGACAACGAGAGUUCGUCGUCUUCGUUUUCGAACUCCAUCACGGCAGCAGAGGUUCGUCGUUGCUUUGGGCUCGUCCGAACAGGCAGCCGGCACUAUAUCUUAAAGCUAAGUCCUAAAUCCUUCUGUUCUAGUUUCUAUUUUGUUAAAGGCAGAGGUUCUCAAGCUUUUGUUGUUCUAGAGUGCAGUAGGAUGAAAAGCACAAGUCUUUCUAUACAUAACGUGGACUGUCUGAUAUAUUGGUGGAACAUGAUUAUGCAUAUGUGAUUUACUAUAUCCCUCUGUAAUUCGAAACUGAUCAUGCUUGAUGGAUGAUGCGAAAUGGAUCGAAUAAGUUGAGCUUAGUAUAUACCUUGUAAUUGAUGUUGGUUGGCUGCUGUGGUGUUAAAUGAACUGGAACUUCUUGAAGUUUUGGCAGGGAAAUGAACUGAUGGUUUAUUUUACUUCUUCCAUUGUUAACUGGAGUAACAAAUGCUUGAAACUGAAAAUGGUAGUAUUUGUUGUUGCUUAAUGAAUGCAGGUAAAAUCAUGGAAGAAGAUGGAGAAGUUUAAGCCAAAGCUUACCUUGAAGUUGGCAGGACACUGGAUGGAGUUUCUCUUUACUCUUCGGCGCAUUUCUUAGUGUAGAAUGGAGGUGAAUGGAGGAAGGUUACUGCUGAAUUGUUAAAGGAUUGGAGAUAGUGGCAGUGGUUGGCUGAGGGAGGAAAGCAAAAGGUGGUGGGCAAAGAAUGGUGGCACAUACUUUUCCUUUUCUUUCAACUAGCUUUGCAACAUUUUUUUUUUAAAACUAUAUCUCUUUCGUGGUGGAACGUUGGUGCCAAUUGAGUGGAGUUGGUGGUUGAUAGUAUAAAGGAGUGGAGUUGGUGGCUGAGUAGGCCACGUAGAGUCAACAACUUUUGUAAUAUACUAGACGAUUUUCCCCAAGCUGGGAACUAGCCUGUAAUCUGUGAACUGUAAAUAAAUACUGGCUUCGAUUUUUAAUCAUCGCAUUUCUGUAUCUGCUUGAUAUCUUUUUCCUUGCCUGCUAACUUGAUAAACUGUAAUAUAACUUAAAUUAAAU
rnacentral:lncRNA from 1 species